AUAUGGAUAACUGUAGUAAUUCUAGAGCUAAUACAUGCCAUUAGCCUCUCUCUUCUUGAGGGAGGUGGCCUUAUUAGUUAAAAAGCCAACCCACCCUCGGGUGGUUCUCUGGUGAUUCAUAAUAAUGUUGCCCAAUCACACGACUCGUUCGGUGAUACGUCGCUACAAUUUCUGCCCUAUCAGCUUUGGAUGGUAGUGUAGUGGACUACCAUGGCUUUUACGGGUGACGGGGAAUUAGGGUUCGAUUCCGGAGAGGGAGCCUGAGAAACGGCUACCACUUCUAUGGAAGGCAGCAGGCGUGCAAAUUACCCAAUCCCAAUACGGGGAGGUAGUGACAAGAAAUAACAAUACUGGGUUCUUACGAAUUCGGUAAUUGGAAUGAGUGUAACUCAAAGGCCUUAACGAGUACCAAUUGGAGGGCAAGUCUGGUGCCAGCAGCCGCGGUAAUACCAGCUCCAAUAGCGUAUAUUCAUGUUGCUGCAGUUAAAAAGCUCGUAGUCUAACUUCUGGCCUGUUAGGCGGAAACUGGUACCUUCGGGGCUGGCUUUCCAAGCCUGCGGGUCAUCGUUGUGGUUAGUGUGUUUUACCUUGAUUGGUUGGAUACACGAUCCACAUCUUUUACUGUGAGCAAAUGGGAGUGUUCAAAGCAAGUUUUUACUAUGCUUGAACCGUUUAGCAUGGAAUAAUGAAAUAGAACUUGGUUUUAUUUCGUUGGCAGUGAACCCAAGUAAUGAUCGAAAGGGAUAGUUGGGGGUGCUCAUAUUCAGGGGGUAGCGGUGAAAUGCGAUGAUCCUCUGAAGAUGAACUAAUGCGAAAGCAUUCACCAAGGAUAUCUUCUUUGAUCAAGAACGAAAGUUGGGGGAUCGAAGACGAUCAGAUACCGUCGUAGUCUCAACCAUAAACGAUGCCAACUAGGGAUUGGCAACCGUCGUACCUGUCUCUGUCAGCACCUUAGAGAAAUCAAAGUUUCUGGGUUCUGGGGGGAGUAUGGUCACAAGGCUGAAACUUAAAGGAAUUGACGGAAGGGCACCACCAGGAGUGGAGCCUGCAGCUUAAUUUGACCCAACACGGGGAAACUUACCAGGUCCGGACAUAGUAAGGAUUGACAGACUAAAGCUCUUUCUUGAUUCUAUGGGUAGUGGUGCAUGGCCGUUCUUAGUUGGUGGAGCGAUUUGUCUGGUUAAUUCCGAUAACGAGCGAGACCUCAACCUGCUAAUUAGAUGUGAGAAUCUUCGGAUUCUAAGCCAAACACAUCUUCUUAGAGGGACUAUCGGUGGUUAGCCGAGGGAAGUCUGAGGCAAUAACAGGUCUGUGAUGCCCUUAGAUGUUCUGGGCUGCACGCGUGCUACGAUGAUGCAUUCAACAAGUUGUACAAUACCUUGCCUGAAAGGGCUGGGUAAACUUUGUAACUUGCAUCAUGCUGGGGCUUAAUCAUUGUAAUUAUUGAUCACCAACGAGGAAUUCCUUGUAAAUGCAAGUCAU
rnacentral:rRNA from 1 species